rnacentral:rRNA from 1 species
UACAGAGAGUGCGAACGUUGUUCGGAAUUACUGGGCUUAAAGCGCACGUAGGCGGCAUCGUAAGUGUCCGGUGAAAUCUCACGGCUCACCCGUGGAACUGCCUGGCAGACUGCGAUGCUCGAGUGUGGUAGGGGAGAGCGGAACUCCUGGUGGAGCGGUGAAAUGCGUAGAUAUCAGGAGGAACACCGGUGGCGAAGGCGGCUCUCUGGUCCACAACUGACGCUGAGGUGCGAAAGCUAGGGGAGCAAACGGG